GCGGGAGGGGCUGAGAGUCUGUGCGAAGGUCGGUGGACAGACUGCACUGCUUGUUGUUGCGCUUCGGAGGCGGCGAUCCCCGAAGGCGAGCUGAAAUACGGCUGGAGCGUUCCCAGGCUACAGUUUGUAGCCGACGAUUAUGGAAGACUAAGAGCCGGAGAGGUGGCCCACCCUCAGGGAGCGCUUGUGCUCGGAGGGCUUCUCAUUUCCCCAAUACCACAUUAAAUCGUCUCAUCUGAGGAGGAUCCACAGAGCUGUCUUCUAUGGUAAUCUGGAGAAACUGGAGUACCUUCUGCUCAUGUAUCAUGACACCAAGGAGAGAGACAAGGAGGAAAGCAUACGGUGAAAGACAGAGAUCACAUUUCAACUAGAUUCUUAGGAAGUAUGGAUUCACUAACUUCAGCAAAGAGAUGGCAGGAGGGCUAAAGUUGAGAAUCCAGGAAAUGGAAAAACACCAGAAGCCUGCAUGACUGGACAACGUGAGUAUUUUUGUUAACUAUGCUUCUGUAUGUAGAUAUCUGAACUAAUGAACUGAGAAUACACCCUUCAAGCAGAAGUGAAUGAUACAUUUUAAUGAAAUUGAUAGUUUUUAAGUUAGAGGACAAAAUGAAGAACAGGAGAGCUAUUGUAGUAUUAUAGUAUAAAUGGUUCUUGGGUGAUUUCUUCAGGGUACACCAUAGCGUUCUACCAUGGGCUUUGACAUAUAUCCUUCUGGGGUCCUAUUUGGUCCUUUUGUCUGACAUCACAUUUUUUGGCUUCAGUUAAGAGGAUCACAUUGGUAGAAGUACUUUUCUGUGUUAGUUGUAGUCAUGUGAAACCUAAUCUCUCUCUUGAAAUCUGGACUACAUGUUUUAUGAAACCUAUAUUGUGAUUUCCAUGUGUAUAUUCCUGUCAUGUCUGUAUGCUAACCAAAACAAGAGCAAAAGCAACCCAGAGCCUAAUAGCUAACGGUUUCAAGACCAAGCAUGAAGAUUUCAGCUGGAUACAAACACUACAUAGUGGAUGGUGGGCUGUGUCAUAUUUACGUGUACUUAAUUAUGUGUCCCUUUUGCUUUGUAGAAUCUUCUGAGCGACCUCCUUUAUCCACUGUAAACAAAUAUAUUUUCAUCUUGAAUUAACAAAAUGCUUUGUGAUAUAUACAUGAUAUAUUAAUCAUUAUGUUGUAAAACCCAUUCAGCUUACCCUGAAAGAAGCAGAUCCCAGUUCAAAAGUAGCCAUAAGAAGGAAGGAUUCACCACCUCCAGGAAAAGGUUGCCUGUUCACUCUGAUCGUAGUAUUGGAAGUUCUGGCCAGGGCAAUCAGACAAGAGGAAAAAAUAAAGGGUAUUCAAAUAGGAAGAAAGGAAGUCAAAUUGUCUCUGCAGAUGACAUGAUUGUAUAUUUAGGAAACCAAAUCGUCUCAGCCCCAAAUCUCCUUCAGCUGAUAAGCAACAUCAGCAAAGUCUCAAGAUACAAAAUCAGUGUGCAAAAAUCACAAGCAUUCCUAUACACCGAUAAAAGACAAACAGCCAAAUCAUGAGUGAAUGCCCAUUCACAAUUGCUACAAAGAGAAUAAAAUACCUAGGAAUACAACUCACAAAGGAUGGGAAAGACCUCUUCAAGGAGAAUGACAAACCACUGCUCAAGGAUAUAAGAGAGGACACAAACAAAUGGAAAAACAUUCCAUGCUCAUGGAUAGGAAGAAUCAAUAUCACGAAAAUGGCCAUACUGCCCAAAGUAAUUUAUAGGUUCAGUGCUAUAGACUACCAUUGACUUUCUUCACAGAAUUAGAAAAAACUACUGGAAAUUUCAUAUGCAACCAAAAAAGAGCCCAUAUAGCCAAG
rnacentral:lncRNA from 1 species